AAACGGAUUCGGUGUAGGUAGGAAUAAUAGUAUACUCUGCCCUGGAUCUAAUCCGAUAAUCUUUAAUAUAAAUAUUCAACACAAAGUCUUAUUCAUCGUCUAAGCUUGCCUAUUCGGUCACUCCAAACCUCCUAGUUUCCAUUUGAAACUCUAGCCAUCGUCUUUUCUAUUCAGUUGAUGGAAGCGGAGGUAGCCAGUGGAUGCGGGUGGUGAG
rnacentral:lncRNA from 1 species